AGCAGGUUAGGCUCUGGUUAACUAGUUUCCCUGAGGCCAGGUGUUCUUAAGAAGGACAUAGUGCUCUGAUGUAUGUCACAAAGGUUCCUUUCCCCUUCCCCUGCCAGAAGCAGGAGGGGGUUUUUCUCCAACAUAUUGUGGCAAUCUAGUUGAGCUCCUGGAAGUAAAUCUCACAAAACUGUGGUGCCUUGCCGUGACUGGGUCGCCCUCGGGUUUAUAGCUCUCAGUUUUGUCCACACUGAGCCUCCAUCAACUCAUCAAUUACAGCUCUGGCUUUCCUGCCCCGGCCCUGCUUCCUGUGGUGGUUUUAGCUGUGAAUCUCUGCUCUGGAAAAAACCCCCAGAUACUCUCAGAAAGAAGUGAAAGGAGAACUUGAAGAAGCAAGUUUGCAGUUUAGACAUCAAGGCAUCAUAUGGGAUAGAAUACAGAAGGAGGAAGUGUUCCUUCUAGAAGCUUUCUCAGUGAGGAGCAGCAUCUCUUUGCUGAAGAAGGUCCUGCAGGAUACAGUAUGUAAGGGCACAGACUACAAAGCCAGAAUGUCUGGAUUUGAAAGCUGGCUUCACGUUUGGUCAGCUGAGGGUCUUGGUUACAUCAGUGCCUCACAAAACCAGGUGAUAGUUUCAGAAAUGUGUUAUCAGCGUGACGCAGCGUCAAACAUUUCAGCUAUUCCAUCUUCAGAUUACACCCCAUUACUUUUUCAAAGCUCUGUCUUAAAACUAUUGAAGAAGCCAUUGCUUUAAUCUAAAACAAGUGUAAAUCUUUCCUUUGUGAAAAUUCUGCAUCAAGUGAAACUUACACAUAGCUAGAGGAAGACUACAUUUCAAUCUACUUGCUUAUGUGUAAAAUAAUAAAGCAUUUAAGUUGUGAAUGUGUUGAUAUCUUGUUAAUACUAUUUCUUUUAUAAGGAACAUCACCAUGAAAUAAAUGCAUGCAUAUACAUAUUUAUAUUCAUAUGCAUAUCUUAAUGACGUCUCUCAUAUAUGUAUGUAUGACAUAAGGCAAUGUAUCUAGAGGACCUAAUACAGAGCCUGGUUAUUUUUUGAGAACCUGCUAAAAUAGAUUGCAGGACAGAAAAUCAGUUGAUAUAAUGUGUUGCCUGUUCAAAUACUAAAUUUGUAUUUUUUAGCAAUAAUGUUUGUAUACCACCCUACACCUCGCUUUACUAAAACCAUUCUUCUUUAAUGUCUGGCUUUAAGAAAUUCUCUACAUGUUAUUUCUCAUAGGAAUACUCAAUGCCCUAGAAAUCAUUGUGUAAAUGUGAUCAUAUUCCCCUAACUUCCUAUACCCACACUAGCUUUACGGAUUAUACAAGGAGUAGGACAAUUUUUGAAUCCUUCCCAACAAGAUUAGAUGUAUUUUCUUGAGCUCUGUGACACCUGCAAUCGAACUAAAGCAAUUCCUUAAUGUGCCUAAGGGUGUUUGAAGUUCAUAUAGAAAGUGGGGACCACAUAAAGGAAGUGUCCACAAGUGAUACUCAGAGACUCCGGAAUUCUCUAAGGGGAAGCUCCUGUGGA
rnacentral:lncRNA from 1 species